UACGGAGGGGGCGAGCGUUAUUCGGAAUUAUUGGGCGUAAAGCGCGCGUAGGCGGCGCGGUAUGUCAAAGGUGAAAUCCCUCGGCUCAACUGAGGAACUGCCUUUGAUACUGUCGUGCUCGAGGCCGGGAGGGGGUAGUGGAAUUCCCAGUGUAGCGGUGAAAUGCGUAGAUAUUGGGAGGAACACCAGUGGCGAAGGCGGCUACCUGGACCGGUUCUAACGCUGAGGCGCGAAAGCGUGGGGAGCAAACAGG
rnacentral:rRNA from 1 species